rnacentral:rRNA from 1 species
AACGAACGCUGGCGGCAUGCCUAACACAUGCAAGUCGAACGAGACCUUCGGGUCUAGUGGCGCACGGGUGCGUAACGCGUGGGAACCUGCCCUUAGGUUCGGAAUAACUCCCCGAAAGGGGUGCUAAUACCGGUUAAUGUCUUCGGACCAACGAUUGAUGGCCUUUGGAUGGGCCCGCGUUGGAUUAGCUAGUUGGUAGGGUAAACGCCUACCAAGGCGACGAUCCAUAGCUGGUCUGAGAGGAUGAUCAGCCACGCUGGGACUGAGCGACGGCCCAGACUCCUACGGGAGGCAGCAGUGGGGAAUAGUGGACAAUGGGCGCAAGCCUGAUCCAGCAAUGCCGCGUGAGUGAGGAAGGCGUUAGGGUUGUAAAGCUCUUUUAACCGGGAUGAUAAUGACAGUACCGGGAGAAUAAGCUCCGGCUAACUCCGUG